rnacentral:rRNA from 1 species
GACGAACGCUGGCGGCGUGCUUAACACAUGCAAGUCGAACGAAGAGCGAUGGAAGCUUGCUUCUAUCAAUCUUAGUGGCGAACGGGUGAGCAACGCGUAAUCAACCUGCCCUUCAGAGGGGGACAACAGUUGGAAACGACUGCUAAUACCGCAUACGAUCUAAUCUCGGCAUCGAGGAUAGAUGAAAGGUGGCCUCUACAUGUAAGCUAUCACUGAAGGAGGGGAUUGCGUCUGAUUAGCUAGUUGGAGGGGUAACGGCCCACCAAGGCGAUGAUCAGUAGCCGGUCUGAGAGGAUGAACGGCCACAUUGGGACUGAGACACGGCCCAGACUCCUACGGGAGGCAGCAGUGGGGAAUCUUCCGCAAUGGACGAAAGUCUGACGGAGCAACGCCGCGUGAGUGAUGACGGCCUUCGGGUUGUAAAGCUCUGUUAAUCGGGACGAAAGGCCUUCUUGCGAAUAGUGAGAAGGAUUGACGGUACCGGAAUAGAAAGCCACGGCUAACUACGUG